rnacentral:rRNA from 1 species
CAGUAGCCACGGUAAUACGUAGGGUGCAAGCGUUAAUCAGAAUUACUGGGCGUAAAGCGUGCGCAGGCGGUUUGUUAAGACGGAUGUGAAAUCCCCGGGCUCAACCUGGGAACUGCAUUCGUGACUGGCGAGCUAGAGUAUGGCAGAGGGGGGUAGAAUUCCACGUGUAGCAGUGAAAUGCGUAGAUAUCGGAAGGAACACCUGUGGCGAAAGCGGCUCACUGGACCAUUACUGACGCUGAGGCGCGAAAGCUAGGGGAGCAAACAGGAUUAGAUACCCCCGUAGUCCCUGUCUCUUAUAC